rnacentral:piRNA from 1 species
UAGUUGCCCUGUAACUCAAAUAGUACA